GGGGAAUAUUGCGCAAUGGGGGCAACCCUGACGCAGCCAUGCCGCGUGAAUGAAGAAGGCCUUCGGGUUGUAAAGUUCUUUCGGUAGCGAGGAAGGCAUUUAGUUUAAUAGACUAAGUGAUUGACGUUAACUACAGAAGAAGCACCGGCUAACUCCGUGCCAGCAGCCGCGGUAAUACGGAGGGUGCGAGCGUUAAUCGGAAUAACUGGGCGUAAAGGGCACGCAGGCGGUGACUUAAGUGAGGUGUGAAAGCCCCGGGCUUAACCUGGGAAUUGCAUUUCAUACUGGGUCGCUAGAGUACUUUAGGGAGGGGUAGAAUUCCACGUGUAGCGGUGAAAUGCGUAGAGAUGUGGAGGAAUACCGAAGGCGAAGGCAGCCCCUUGGGAAUGUACUGACGCUCAUGUGCGAAAGCGUGGGGAGCAAACAGGAUUAGAUACCCUGGUAGUCCACGCUGUAAACGAUGUCGAUUUGGGGGUUGAGCUUUAAGCUUGGCGCCCGUAGCUAACGUGAUAAAUCGACCGCCUGGGGAGUACGGCCGCAAGGUUA
rnacentral:rRNA from 1 species